UGAUAGCAUCGUGGAAUCUCAGGUAGCAUGUAAGAUCCAUGAGUUAGAGCUUCAACAAGCAGAGAAGGAUCAUUGAACUUGUAAAGCAGCAGGGAUUCCAAGUAUCUGACAUUAACUAGCUUCUCAGCAUUCAUGGGAAAGUGCCUUGACAUAGGUGCAUCAACAAAAUUGAUGUCCACCCCAAGCCAUUUCAUAAAUGAUAAAGCCGCUACUUCCCCACCCGAGCUGAGGUAGGCACCUAUUAGUGCCUCGACCACAUCAGCUACUCUCUUACUUUUAAUCUUCUGUUUUACCCUACUAUACAUUUUAUCUGAGGACGUUAGAAACUCGUCGUCGAAGCUGUGAACUUGAGAAUUAUCACCAGGAAUGAUCCAUGCUUUAAGAUCGAAUGGUUCAUUACGGAUAAAUCCCUGUAAUCAAAGGUAUUUAUUAAAGGGAAAACCUUAAGAAGAAAAAAAGAAAAAGAAUUCAGAUAGCAUUUUCAUCCAGUAAGGCACAAUACUAUGCAGUUAAACCAAUAAAACAUAAAGGACCUGCAUGAACUCUUUAAAAAUUCACUGGGAUAUUUACUAAUACAAGUAUCCAAAAGCACUCGCUCAAAAUUGACAUGUCCUAAAAUAAUUGUAUUCCAGUUGAUGCACUGACGCAAUAUGCAUGUUUUACAAAUAUGAAUAACUACUAAUUUCCAUUAUAACAAACAGUAGACAUUUGUGUGGGCAAGGAAGGGAGUAGAGAAUGUUUACAUGCAAAAGUUGACAACUUUUAGGUGGCAGGCAUGAUUAACAGUCAAUAUUGGAUCUUUAGUCAAAGUGUACGAGUAAAUAUCCCCUGGUUAUCCUUAAGCAUCAAUGAAACAUAUCCUAAAGAAAAACAAUAAGUCACCCAAGAUUAAUAGAGACAUGGAGUUGAUCACCAAGGAAUACCUACCGGUAUUUUACGAGCACAUCCAAGCUUGCAUAGUGCAGCAUUGGAAAUAAUCUGAUUUUUCUUAACGGUGAGAAGACCCUCAUGAUGAUUUUCGUAAGUCUUGAACAGCUUUAUACUGGCAGCAUAUUUGAGAAAAGAGUCUCCAAGUGUCUCAAGUGAUUCCAAAUGAAACUUCUCAAGGCAUUUCUUCGUUGUAAUUGCUUCCAAAAUCUAAAAUAAUAAAACAAGGAAUAAGUUGUGGGCACAAGAAUAUGUAUGAAGCUCACAGCUUAAGAAAGACUGAUUUAAUUAGAGCAAAGAUCUGAGAUGAGAUCAUAGCAGCAUAUACCUUAGCGGUUGGAAUAGGAACAUUUAGUGUGCGGUGAUCCAAAUGCGUUCUUUUCAAGUUUGAGGCCAUAACCAAGGACUCAAUCCGAUGCAUGAUCGAAGGAAUAUAUGAAUAGGUAUUAAGGGUAGAAAUAGAGAGAGGUGACAUGAUGAGGGAACAAAGUUCAGGAGGCAACUCGACAGAUGAAUCAGUUGAAUCUGCAAAGGAGGCCAAAGCUAAGUGAUCAUACAUAAGCAUUAUAACAAAAGAAGAACCCUAUGAUCAAACCUUUAGCCUUCUGAGUUCUGCUUCUCUGAAGGUAAUUGUGCACUUUACAAAUAUGUUUUCCCCUAAGAAGUGGUUCUUCUUCAAAGCAUAUGUUGAUCCCAUGCCUGUAAACCGCACAUUACUUAAGUGUUUUGAAACAAAAAGAUGAUAUAUGGAGAAGGUGCACCAGAAAAUCAGAAGCUAAUUGUACAAACCGCUUUUUGUAGUAUUCUGUGUAGGUGAUGGAUUCUCCAGUUCUCAUACCCAACAAUGAGUAGCAAUCCAAAUUAUCCAAAAAACCGGUAAUGCAGUAUAUAUGGCCAUUAUGAGGUGUAAAGACCAAUGAAUUCUCCAACAUGCAGCUACAUACCACCCCAGUUUUGAUGUUCACACUGCGUUUGCGAUCUUGAGUAGAACACCAAUCCAUAUGCUUAUCCUCAAGAACUUGAGACGGAAACAGCAAAGAAUUCACACAUUUCCAAUUUAUUUCAGGGGUACUACCCAAAGAUGGGAGCAAAAGAUAAUCAGAAACUGCAGAACCAAUAGGCGAUUGAACUGCAGCCAAAGCGUCCUGCAGUAUACUCAGAUCACGGUCAAGAAGAAUUCUGAAGACACUGACUUGAAACCUCUGACACCGUCGAAUCUGGAGAGAAAGAGAUCAAUAGAAGAAAAAAAAAAGUAUCACCAACCAUUUUUACAGGUAACGAGUAAAGAGAUGAUAAGAGCCAUCAAAAUUAUAAUCACCUCUUCAGCAGUAAGUGUAACAACUUUACUAUAAUUAAGUUGAACUUGCAAGAGUCCCCUCCUAUCAACGUCCAAGUCAAAUGCCAGUAUUUCAUCAUCACACUUGAGCCUUGUCCUAACAGCAAGUAUAAUCCCAUGAAGCUGGAAGUCGUUGUAAGAGGCAUGUUGCAUCUCAACUAGGUAGCAGUAGUACACUGCUUCUGAAUCAUUGCUGCAAUGACUAACCAAUUCUGGUGGAAAGUAUUUUGAUUCUUCAACAGUAUGGAUUUGACAUUCUGCACAAUAUAAUAGGUUAGAAGUGGAGCAUCACAAUCCAAAAAACCCACAUUAGAUAAAAGAUGUUAGAAUUACCCAAUUCUUUGUUGAUGGCUUCUUCCUCCACAAUAUCAGGAACAAGAUUGUCAGUCAAGGCACCCACAUGAUGAAGUUCUUUACAAGCUUCCAGGCAUGCAAGUUGCUUCAGUAUUUUUCUAUUCCCCUGUACACUAAUAACUCUUUGCAGUGGCGAACUUUUGGGAAGUUGUAGCGUGCAGGUUCCUGUUUCCUUAUCAAUCACACACCUAGGAUUGGGUUUAAAGUACCUACAAUUGAAUUGAAUGUCAGACCAUAAUGCAAUAUUUAACAUAUGAAAUACUCAAUGAUACCAGAAUCCUUAACACAUAGCAAGAGAAUAUGCAGAGUACAAACCCAUCCGACGGUAGCCUUGAGCAAUAGAAGUAUAGCAAUGACACGCUAGAACUGAGGGUGACAACUGCUCCUGUGCUUUCAACUUUGUAGCAAGGCUCAUCAUACAAUUCAUCAUCUAGAGGUGAACAUGGAAUAGAAGCAUGACGUAAUGAUUCUUGCCGCAUUAUCUCUCCACUAGCCAUAUAGUUUUGCAUGCGAGUAAGGGUCGGAUCAUCCCCACUAGGAUUUGAGUCAAAAUGAGAAUGAUCAGUCCAUUGUUAUAAUCAAAUUUCCCAAAUUUUAUCAAUAAUACUUGCACAAAAUGUCAAGAGAUAAAGUAACUGUUUGUCUGUUAGAUUCUUUUAAAUAAUUAAUUUAAUACUUUUAAAACAGUAGUGCAAUAGCAAGUGACAACAGCAGAAAUAGCAUCCAGUAAAUAAUACACCAAAAACAAUAAUGAGAGAACACUGAAAAACAUUCAUAGUAUCAACUAGAAUAGAUUGACAAAACAUACUCUCUGACCAUCAGAAGAAAGUCGGAGUUUUGCAUUCGAGCUCGUCCACGUGAUUGUAUAAAGCUACAAACAGUAGCUGAUGGAUCAAAUCGAAUCACAAGGUUGCAACUUUGAACAUCCAAGCCCUCUUCAAGAAUAGAUGUCGCUACAAUAAUGUUCACCUGCAGUGUUUGCAUGGAUGUCAGACUUUAAAUCUUCAGAAACUAUCUAAAAAGCAAAAAAAAAAAAAUUAGACUUACCAACCCCUUGCGAAAUUCUUCAACAAUUUUAUUUUGAUUUUUUCUACUCUGUGACUGGAGAACAGAAAUAUGCCCUGCUGUGUACUCAGUUCUCCAACCACUUCGUUCCAGAAGCAACUCAUUCAGUAGAGACCGAAGAACAAUGGCUGUAACAAUUCUCUCAACAAAUAUGAUGCAUCUCAAAUCCUUUCGGUCCCUGUUACCAACGAUAAGAUUGUUUGUAAGUAAAUCACUAAAUAUAGAAUCCUAUUUCCCAACAAAAGAAUGGAUAAUCUCAGAAACUGUCCAAACUAAACCCCAAAGGAAGUUCUUAUAAUUAUUGAUGAAUCCAAAGUAGUCUCAAUAACAAUACAAAGGAACUGUAAUAUCUUAUAAAUAUUUAAUUGCAUCAACACUAAAUCACAUAUCAUUCUAUAUGUGCUUCCUCAAAAUCUCUGAAAGAAAAGUAAAGCAGGUCCAUUUCACCAAGGGAAACAAAAAGAUGACCUUCCUUCUUCAAAGGAGUCUCUCGCAGACACAAAAUUUUAAAAGAAUCUAACCGACCACUUCUCUUUUUUCUAUUUAUUCUCCAAAACCCCAAUUGAUUGAACUAACAUUAAAGCUUUUGACUAAAUAGUAGAUUCAUCAUUCAAGCGCUCUCACCUGUACUCGAGAAGAGACUCUAGAAGACAAUUAACUUUGGAUGACAAAUAUCCAGCAUCUGCAUUUGCCUGAAUAUCACCACCAAUUGACCAAUGUGGGCCUAUGUUUACAGGGAAGAGAGAGUGAGUGAGAGAGAGACAGAUAGCAGAAGGAAAUCAAAAAACAAUCUUACAGCUCAGGGAGAAAAGAAAAUGGAUGUUGCUAACUAUGAUACCUGAAGGUAAACGAGCCGAGAAAAUCUUAGAUGCACCCAAACUGAAAUUUCUAACAAUUGUCUGAGCACAUGCAUCGAAUUCUCCCCAUGAAAAGAAAUCAUUUUCUUCAAAGGACAAGAACUCAGCUGCCUGAUUCAAAACAAAGUCAUGUUAGGAAACUGAUCAAGGCCAAAACGUUUAUUUAUUUAUUACACCAGCAAGGAACAAAAAUUACCUUGAAAGCCAGCCACACACCCAUCUCACUCAAACAAAAUAAGAAAGCCAAGUGAAGUUUUGAUAAACGUCUUCUUGCAGAUCCAGCACUCAUAGAAGACAGGUUUGACUUUGAAAUCGAACAUUCAUGCUGCAAUGGUUAGAAAAGUUAAACAACUAAAAUUGGAAGAGCAAAAAAGUCUUACCCAUAUGUUAAAACAUGAUUCCUCCAGUCGCUACUAUAAGGAUAAAUUAAGGUUUAGUUAGUAGUCUCAGUAUUCUUUCAAGGCACUUUCUGUUUUCUGGUUGCACACAAUGUAGAGAAGGAAAGAGGUAACAUCAGCUAAAUGAUAAUUGAUAUCUUCAGAGCAGGACGAAUGGUUAGCAUGCACAUUCUGCUAAGUAGAAAGACAAAACCCAUUGGCUAAAGAAUUGAUGUUUACCUUUUCUUUCAACCUUUCGAGGUCCUGAGCUAAAGUAUUAAACAAUGUGCAAGGAAUAUCCACAUGUUCAUAUAUCUUCAACUUCGGAUUUGAGAAUGGGAUAUACUCUGCCAGAACAGACUCACUGCUACACGUGUACACCUUCAUUUGCAAAGGGAGAUCACAAUUAGAGGAACGGAAUAUCUAUCUAAAUGUGUGUUUGUGACUUUCUGCAUAUAAAAACAAUAUAACAAUCAUCCAAGAGCUAAUGCAUGCACAGUUCUUUCUCUGAACUACAAGAAGAUUAAUUGAGAGAACCUUGGAAUUCAUAAGAUUCUCGAGGUCACGAAUCUUUUGCCAAUAACUAUGUGCCGUGCUAGCACCUGCAUAAAAAGUAUAAACAUGAGAAUCCAGAGAAAGUGAGAUAAACCAGUACUUUAACAGUAUGACGUAGAAAAAUCUCAAAAGAUGUCCAAAAGCUAUAAGAUCGAAUCCCACCAACCUUUAGACUUUAUAGGGGAAGCAGUCAUCCCAAAUAUUCUUGGAAGUUGUGCGCUCUCAUGGGUUAACUGGUGAUGAUAAAACUCCUGAAAGAAUACUAACCCUCUAAGAUAAGAAUCGUUCAAGCACCAUACCAAGUCAUGCUCAAGCAGGAUUCUAGUUAAGUCUUUUCUUAUAUGGUUCACAUACGUAUAAAAGAACCAAUGGCAUGCCCACAGGGGCUUCCACAUCAAGUAAAUGUACACAUUGCAUAGUGUGCAUGUAAAAGAAUUCAUCCACUAUACAUGUCUUCACACAUUCUCUCUAAUAUCUCCUUUUGGUCAACUUCUGAAAUAAACUAUUGUUGAAGUGGUAGUAACUACACAAUAAUUAUGAUAUCCAUUAACAAACAAAUCAAUUGUAGUUGAUAUAAUGCUGCGAAGUAGGGAACCGAGAGAGUGACACGUAUCAUAUAACAACAUUGUGCAGAUGAAGAAAUUGCACUACUUCAGAAAAUAUAAUCAACAAUUAGCUCAAACUGUUCUACAGAAAAUUCAAUCUUAGCACAAACAACGUACCACCAUUAUGCUGGCAUAGGGGUGUUUGCCUCGUGCAUUGUGGCACUCAUCAAAUAUUAUAACUUUUAUCAUGUCUAUUUGUAAAAAGCUGUGCCUCAAAGCAGCAAGUAGUAUUGCCGGAGUCAUAACAAGUACCUGAAAGACAAGCCUGUGGUAAUUACUUAUGGCGCAUCCACGUAAUAUAUACACAACGCCUAACUUAAUUUCUAGCAUAUAAAUGCUGAACGUCAGAUCUAAUAUAUUCGAGGAGAGCCCUACCAAGAAAAAGAAGAAUUUUAACGCAAACAACAGCAGCUCAUUAGCAACUUCCCUUGGAGAAUAGCAAUUAGCAUAUUACUGUUCCACGAGAUCCCAAUACCAGCAAAUAUGAGCAGCUAAUUUCAAUAGCCUUUACAACCAUUUCUUUUCCUUAACUGAUCUGUACAAAAUGUUGCUGCGGUUCACAAUUUUGAUCGAAUGGUUACCGGAAUGGGAUAGAAAAGGAUAUCACAUGGGUUGGGAUAUCCCACCAUGUCAGUACAAAAUGUAUUCUAGGCGUAAUUAAUACUCAUAACCAAAUGCGAGUGAAAUAAUCUCAAAUUUUAUCCCGGAUUGUUUUCCAUUAUCCCACCCAACCUAACAACCUCUAAAGGUCAAAGUUAGGUUGUGGCGGGCUUGACCCUUCAGCUGUGGGCAUUUCUAUAUAGAUGCGGGCUUUACUUUAGCAUAGAAGCAUAUACCCCAUGUACCAUUAGUUCAGGCUAUAGAGAGGAUUGAUAAACAGUCACUUCUAUUUUAUUCUCAUAUAGUUGUUUAGUAACUUUAGGACUGCAAUUCUUUUAAGAACAAUAUAGCCAUACUCAAUGCCAACUCAAGCAACGGUUAAUAAUUUGCCACUGAAGAUAAAAUAUAGUUCAUACAAACCUCAUGAUCGUCCACUUGUUGUUGCCAUGUAGCAGCAUCCCAAUAAUCAACACCCAUUUCUCCCCAAUAUUUGCCCACUUUUAAGUCAGUAUGCAACAUCAGAGCAUCUCCUUGCUUGUAAUUAUCAAAUCACAAGAUCAACAACAUUAGGAUGAUUCAAAUACACGGUUUUGAACCUAAAACCAAGCUACCUCAAACAUAUAACAAACUGCAAAACAUGAGAAAACUAAUGGGGAAAAACAGUUCUACAAUCUUUAGACGGGAGAGAAGUUGGUGGAUAAUAAAAAUAUACACAUUAAGAUGAUAAAUUUGAAGGGACGAGAUUGAGAAGCUAGAAGUACUACCUGAGUCACCAGAACAACAGUCGGGACCAAGAAAACAGCUAUGUACGGAGACGGCUUUCGAAGAAGGUAAGCAUAGCUUCUAAGAAGCAUAAUAGCAAUCAAGGUCUUUCCAGAACCAGUCUCUAAGUAAACAAUGGUGUUCUGCUUUAAUGCUGUCUCCAGAGCUUCCAACUGAUAACUAUACAUAACAAAAUCAACAUGUACAUUACAAAAGUUCAUUUUUUAAAAAUAAAAUUUCUUUUUUCAAUCAAUUUUUUUUCCCUAACUCCAUUAAAAGAGAAAAUAAAUGUAAGAUGCCAACCUUCUUGCAAAAGGCAGAGGGUCAGCAGAGAGCUGUUGGUUUUCAGAGACUGCAACAUCAGUUGGCUCCAUUGAUUGUUCUCUACAUUAACAUCAGACCAAUCAAAACUGAAGACGCCAACAAAGUAAUAAAAAUGAAACAACAAACUCUCCAAGAAAACGACAACCAGGUGAUCAUACAUAAAACAACCUAUUUUAUCUACACACUUCAAAGAAACACAAAGAGAACCCAAAAUCCAAGAAAAUCAAACCAUAAAAAAAAAACAAGGUUUUGUAAGUUCAGCACUUAUAAUCAAAGAUUUAACCUCCAUGUAAACACCCAUUUCAAAAAAAUACAUAAAAGAGUGAUCUUUAUGGAAAACAAACACAGGAAUAAUCAGCUGGCUCCAUUGAUUUGCUAUCUACAUUAACAUUGAACCAAACAAACGUAAAGACCCACAAAGUACCAAAGAACAAACAUAAAACACUCCCAAUGAAAUGACAACCAGGUAACAAUACCCUUAGUAACAUUUCAAAGAAAACCAAAAUCUAAAGAAUACACAUAUCAAAUCAGAUGUAAAAAAGACCAAGACUUUGUAAGUAAAAGAACAUAUAAUCUAUGCUUCAACUUCCCAUGGAAAAACCCAUUUUAAAAAAUGCAUAAAAGAUUGAUCUUUAUGAAAAAGAAACACAGAAAUAGUCAGCUGACUCCAUUAAUCUGUUAUCAUUGAACCAAACAAACAUAAAGACACCAUCAACAAAGUAACAAAGAUGAAACAGAAAACAACCAGGUUACAUACCAGGGUUAAAGCAGCCUAUUCAUCUACAUACCAUUUGUACCAUUUCAAAGAAACACAAAUAAAAACCAAUAUCCAAUAAAAGUACACAUAUCAAACCAGAAAAAAAAACAAGACUUCUGUAAGCAAAAGCCAAAAGAACAUAUAAUCAAAGAUUUAAACACCCAUUUCAUAAAAAUGCAUAAAAAGUGAUCUUUAUGAAAAACAAAACAUAGAAAUAGUCACCUGGCUCCAUUGAUUUGAUAUGCACAUUAACAUUAAACCAAACAAACAAAAAAACACCAACAAAGAAACAACCAGAUGACAUACCAGGGUUAAAGCAACCUAAUCAUCUACAUACCCAUUGUACCAUUUCAAAGAAACACAAAGAAAAACCAAUAUCCAAGAAAAACACACAUAUCAAAUCAAAAAAGAAUACAAAAAAACAAGAGUUUUGUAAGUAAAAGAACAUAUAAUCAAAGAUUCAAACACCCUUUUCAUUAAAAUGCAUAAAAAAAUAAUCUUUAUGAAAAACAAUCACAGAAAUAGCAAAGAAAACUCACUGGCUAGUGCUGAAUUGCAAAAACUUGAAGAGCAGCUUUUCAGUGUUUAGUGAAGAAGAAAGAGUGAGUGAGAGAUACAAUAUGUUGAGAGGUUUUUAUAGUAGCAUAUUAUAUAAAAUCAAAAAAAAAAAAAAUUCUGCAACACCCCCACCCCCCUUAUGGAAAAAGCAAAUAUAAUACGACAAUUAAAUACCCCAAAAUCUUUUUUUCGGAAGGAAAAAGAAAGGAGGGUGACGAAAAGACAGAAUCUUUUGGCCUUAUGAAUCCAAUUAAAUUUCUAAAGAAUAUACAAGGUAUGAAAUACACUUUCGAUCUUGUAAUACGAGUGAAAUUCACCCUUAACUUUUUUUCAAGCUUUGGAGUAUUUUCAAAAAAAUUAUUAGUUUUUUUUUAUUAAGAAUCUUGUGCUUCUACAAGAGUUUGAGACCAUUGGUUAUAUCAUGUGGCAAAUCGGAGGAGGGUGUAGCUAAGUUUAGUUAGUCAAAUAAAGGGUGUUGUUAAAACUGUCAAUAGUUCGAGACGAAACUAAUAAUUUGCACCAAGUUCAGGGUGUUUUCAAUACUUCUCCUCUUUUUUUUCAUCUUAUGCUCCACUAUUUCAGAAUCGCCCCACGUAAGGCUCCAUACAGGGGGAAAUGCUCCCUACUAAGGGUUCUUUUCAUUCUAGGACUCAAACUCGAAACUUUUGGUUAAAGGAGGAGGAGUCACAUCUAUUGAACCACAUCUUUUAAUAUAGAGCAACUUUCACAUAUAGCAAACAUAAAAAUCAUAUUUGUAUGUUAUAGUUAUAGUUUGCAUAAUUGCGCUCCAUAGCAAAUUUUAUGUUUGUUAUGGAGCUUUUGAUUUGUAUAAUUCGCUACAAACAUUCAAUUUUAUACAAAUUGUUCAGUUUUGUAUAAAUUCAUUUAUGCAUUGUAAUUUGUAUAAUAAGAUAUGUAUUUGUAUAAUUAUAAGUGUAUAGGACGAAAAUAUAUGUAUUUGUAUUUGUAUAUACACUUUUCUCUCGCUUUAUACAAACACAAACGCAUUUUAUACCGAAAUGUAUAAANNNNNNNNNNNNNNNNNNNNNNNNNNNNNNNNNNNNNNNNNNNNNNNNNNNNNNNNNNNNNNNNNNNNNNNNNNNNNNNNNNNNNNNNNNNNNNNNNNNNNNNNNNNNNNNNNNNUAUGGAGCUUUUGAUUUGUAUAAUUCGCUACAAACAUUCAAUUUUAUACAAAUUGUUCAGUUUUGUAUAAAUUCAUUUAUGCAUUGUAAUUUGUAUAAUAAGAUAUGUAUUUGUAUAAUUAUAAGUGUAUAGGACGAAAAUAUAUGUAUUUGUAUUUGUAUAUACACUUUUCUCUUGCUUUAUACAAACACAAACGCAUUUUAUACAUUUUAUACCGAAAUGUAUAAAAUGACUAAUUGUAUACCGAAAAUGGCUAGUUGUAUGUCGAAUCAGAUGACAAAAAAAAGGGAUGUUUGUUGCGAAUUACAAUAAAAAUAAACUAUAGCUAUAACAUUUAAUUUGAAUUAAUAGUUUGUUAUUUCAUACAAUUUUCCCUUUAAUAUAUACACUAUAUAUAUACUCUUUAUUCUAUCUUCUUCCCAUAUUAGCCUUGAGAAUAUAUUUUAAUACCAAUUGGUUUUUUUCUUCUGUAUAUAAAAAUUAGGAAUAAGGGUCUGAAAAAUACCUCAACUUUGGUCGGAUUUGUUGUUGUGAUACUAAACUUUCAUGAGGACCUAUUACCUCCCUAGACUAUUUAAUACCGUAUUUUAAACAUAUAUAUUUGUCCACGUGGACAUAAAAAAUAAUGACAAAAUUAUAUAUAGUAAUGUGUCCACGUGGGCACAUAUAUACCUUUAAAAUACACUAUUAAAUAGUUCAGGGGGUAAAAAAUACGGUAUUAAAUAGUCUAGGGAGGUAAUAGGUCCUUAUGAAAGUUUAGUAUCGCAACAGCAAAUCCGACCAAAGUUGGGAUAUUUUUUAGAUCCUUAUCCCUAAAAAUUAGGAUAAACCUAAAUUGUUCAGAUGGUAAAUAUAUUUUGUUUACAACUUUAAUGGUGUUAAUUCGAGUUUUGAAUAAAAAAUAUGGACCUAAUUUGUUAAUUAUACUAUUACAAAAGUUAAUAAUAAUAAAUAUGUAGCACAAAUAUGUAUAUGUAUCCGAAUGGUUAUAUUUGUUCUUUACUUAUUUGGAGCUAGUAACUCUUAAAAUCAUUCAAAUAAAUUUAAAACUUUUAGAUUCGCAAAUUGGUUUAUGAAUAUUGAAAAUGAAAUGAAGAAACUAUAAUGUUUAGAAAACGUUAAAUUCUGAAAACAAUGAUCAAAAGACGUUAAACUUUGGAAUUACUAAUAAGAAAACGUUAAAUCUUGAAAUGCGUUCUCAGAAAACGUUAAAAUCAUAAAAGCAUUUAACACAUGCUAGGCGUUACAUCUUAUAAUCACUAAUAAAAAAUUGUUAAAUCCUAAAAUCACAUAUCAAAAAACGUUAUUUCCUAUAAUCACUACUGAGAAAGUGUCAAAACCUAAAAUCACUUAUUACAAGACGUUAAAUUUUGAAAUCGUCGAUCAAAAGGUGUUAGAUCAUAUAAUCAUUGAUAAAAAAAUGUUAAAUCCCAUAAUCACUUCUCAAAAGAUAUUGAAUCCUAUAAUCACUUAUCAUACGGUGUUAAAUUUUAUUUUAUUUUCUUUUACAUUAAAAAAUUAGGAUAAAGACUAAUGCAAACACAAAAGUAUUCAUCUAAUCAUCUCCACAAAAGAAUUCAAUAAAACCAAAGUGUUAUGAUUGAUUUUGAAUUAAAGACGUUAAAUUCAUGUGAUAAACAUCAUAAAAAUUAAAUAUAACCAUCACAAAAGUUAAUGGCAAUAAAUAUGUAGCACAAAUAAUUUUAUUUGUUCUUUGUUCACUCGAAGUUUGUAAUUUUUAAAAUCAUCUAAAUAAAUAAAUUCGAAUCUUUUGGAUUCUCAAAGUGGUUCAUGAAUAUUGAAAAUGAAUUGGAGAAACAAAUAGUAGUGAUUAGGAAACAUUAAAUUUAAGAAUCAUUGAUUAGAAAACAUUAAAUUUAACAAUCAUUAAUUAGAAGACAUUAAAUUUUGAAACCACUUAUAAAAAAAGAAGUUAAAUCCUAUAAUGAGUUCCCAAAAGAUGUUAAAUUCCAUAAUCACUAAUCAGAAGAUGUUAAAUUCCAAAAUCACUAAUCAAAAUGUGUUAUAUCUUCCAUCUUAUAAUCACUGAUAAGAAAUCGUUAAAUUCUAGAAUUAUUUCUUAGAAAGCGUUGAAUUUUGUAAUCAUUGACCAAAAGACGUUAAAUCCUAAAAUUAAUUAUAAGAAAAUAUUAAAUCCCAUAAUCACUUAAGAAAAUAUUAAAUCCCAUAAUCACUUUUUUAGAACGCAUUAAAUCUUAAAAUCACUUAUCAUAAGACAUUAAAUUCUAGCAUCGAGAAUAUAAGGUUAACGUUCUUUAAUGCUAUCAUAUUCUUCUAUAUAUUUGCUCGUGAGUGUGCAUUUAAGUUACUCUUGACCUAGAAAAAAUUAAUACAAUAUUAUUUCUUACUAUAUUAUCACCAAUGUUCUAAUAACCAUUUGAUUUUUUAUAUUUAUAAUUUUGAAAUUUUGAAAUUUUAUUUGUCCUAGUUUUAAUAUUAAGAAAUGACGAUAAACAUAUCAUAAUAUUUAUUUAUUAGAAUUAAUAAAGACAACUAUUAAGUGCUUAUUAUCCAUCCAAAAUACUAAAAAGAUAUUCUCAAUUGUUUAAUGGCAAAAAGGGAAAAGAAAAGAUGCUAUAUACUAAUCAAAAUAAUAUCAACGACAAUGACAUCUAACAAACUAUAACGUACAAUUUUUUUUAAAAUCAUAAUCAUCGCAUAUCUGAUAUUUACUAGUUUAAUUAAUUUAUAUUCAUGUGGUAUAAACUUAAAAAAAAAAAGGAAUUAUCCCCUUACCAUUAGAGAUGAAUUAUUCUUUUAAAUACAAAUAUAAAAUUUAAAUUUAAAUUACAUAAUUUAUCAAAUUCAUAACUAGAAUAAUAUAACUUGUCCCCACCUAUUAAGAAUUUUUUGAAAUUCGAUACUAGUAAAAUAUAGUAAGUACUAUUUUCUAGUGAUGUGGAGAGAACUGCUAAAACCUUUGUCUCCAAGGAAUCAAUUGUCAUUAUUAUUUUUUGUUUGGUUUUUCUGGUUGGUGUUGUUCAAUAUCUAUAUUAAAGUUCGAUUAAAUUUAAAUUCAUAUCGAAAAAUUUAAAAUAGAUAAAUAGCUCCCUAAUGAAGAUGACUUAGUAAAAAUUUAAACUCGAAACUUUUAAUUAAAAAAAAUAUAUUUAUCACUCCAGCGUAAUAUGAAUUGAUCAAUUGUACUGCUCACUAGUGGGAAAUACUAUUUUUUUCUUCUUUUUUUGAUGUUGAAAGGGAAAUUCUUGAAACUUAGUCUCCAAGGAAAGCUCCACCACAUGGGAAAAAAAUAAUUGGACAAAGAACAUUCUAGAACAUAUUAAUCAAACACACCAAUAAAAAUAAUUUUGAUAUUAAAAUUCUAAUAUUAUGAAUUGUAUUACUAUUUUUUGUAUCACAACAUGUUCAUAAUUCCUAUCUUAUAACAAUAUGCACAUAAUUUCUCUUAUUAUACGAGAGAGCUUGAAGUGUCGAUUUGCCUGCACUUCAGUAAGGAUAUUUUUGAAAAAAAGAAAAAUUUAAAAUGAAUAAAGAGCUCUCUAAUGAAGAUGGCUUAGUAAAAAUUUAAACUCAAAACUUUUAAUUAAGAAAAACAUACUUAUCACUUCAUCAUAAUCGGAAUUGAUCAAUUGUAACUACUCACUAGUGGGAGAUACUAUUUUUUUUUUUCUUUUUUGAUGUUGAAAGGGAAAUUCUUGAAACUAGUCUCCAAGGAAAGCUCCACCACAUGGGAAAAAAAUAAUUGGACAAAGAACAUUCUAGAACAUAUUAAUCAAACACACCAAUAAAAAUAAUUUUGAUAUUAAAAUUCUAAUAUUAUGAAUUGUAUUACUAUUUUUUGUAUCACAACAUGUNNNNNNNNNNNNNNNNNNNNNNNNNNNNNNNNNNNNNNNNNNNNNNNNNNNNNNNNNNNNNNNNNNNNNNNNNNNNNNNNNNNNNNNNNNNNNNNNNNNNNNNNNNNNNNNNNNNNNNNNNNNNNNNNNNNNNNNNNNNNNNNNNNNNNNNNNNNNNNNNNNNNNNNNNNNNNNNNNNNNNNNNNNNNNNNNNNNNNNNNNNNNNNNNNNNNNNNNNNNNNNNNNNNNNNNNNNNNNNNNNNNNNNNNNNNNNNNNNNNNNNNNNNNNNNNNNNNNNNNNNNNNNNNNNNNNNNNNNNNNNNNNNNNNNNNNNNNNNNNNNNNNNNNNNNNNNNNNNNNNNNNNNNNNNNNNNNNNNNNNNNNNNNNNNNNNNNNNNNNNNNNNNNNNNNNNNNNNNNNNNNNNNNNNNNNNNNNNNNNNNNNNNNNNNNNNNNCUAUCUUAUAACAAUAUGCACAUAAUUUCUCUUAUUAUACGAGAGAGCUUGAAGUGUCGAUUUGCCUGUGCUUCAGUAAGGAUAUUUUUGAAAAAAAUUUUAAAAAAAUAUUUUUAUUAUACUGCUUUAAUUUAAUUUGAUAUGUUUUAGCUAUGACGUUUAGUUUUAAAUUUAUAUUCUUUUGUUAUAGCUUUAUUAUUUUGAAUGAUGGUAAUAGUAUAUGUUUUGUAAUUACUUUGAGUAAAAAAUUAAAUCGAUAACAAAAAAAAUACUUUAAUUAUGGACAUCUUAAUGGACCCCUUACAAUAAAUUUGACAAAAAGAAGAAGAAAUGAUUUUCUAUCACAGAAAUAUAGUGUAAUUUAUUUUUGAGUAAGAAUUUAAAAUCAUUUAAUCAAUACAAUUUAAUUUUUUUCAAUAUUAAUAAUAUUUAUUUUACACUUAAUGAAAUAAUUUAAUAUCGUUUAAUUCAUACCAUUUAAAAAUAAAUUUGUGAAAAAAUAUUGAAUGUAUGCACAACACGAGGUCUUAGUAACUAGUUGGUUUAAAUUGAUUGCGCAGUAAAUUAUUAAUCAGAAACUUUGGUCGAAAGGGUUAUUUAAUUUUUGAAUCAUUUAUAUUAUUCAUUUGCUUCAUGGAGUUUUAUCUGAUUAUCUUUUUUUAACAAGCUAUUCUAUACAUUACAUUAUCUAAUUAUAAAUCAAGGAUAUAUCUUUUGAAUUACUCUCUGUUGGUUGUAAAAUUAGUUAAGUGACAUAUUAUUUUAUUCAGGGUAAUGCUAAAUGGCCAGAAAAUUUGACCAAAAAUUUAAAAAGUAUAUAAUAUCCUUUUUAUUUUAAAAUAAACUGAUUUUUUUUCCAUUUUUUAAUUAAAAUGUAUUAAAAUUAAAAUGGUAAAAAUGUUCAAAAAGGUAAAAUAACAUAGUGUGAAAUAUGUUAUUUUACUAUUCUGGCCAAAAGGAUUUUUCAUUUUAUUCUAGUUCUUAGUCCAUUAAAUGAACAUUUACUCAUUUAAUAAGCAUUAAUGAUUUCAUGAUUUCGAUGAGAUGAAUGUUCUAUUACGAAGAGGUAGAUCUAAGAAGCAUCAAUGAAUUCAAAAUUUCAAAAAGAUGAACUUUAUUACUCCCUUCGUUCACUUUUAAUUGUCAUGUUACGCUUUUCGAAAGUUAAUUUGACUAAUUUUCAAAGUGAUAGAUUGCAUUAAUUUGAUAUUUUAAACAAAAAAAUUAGAUAUUCAAAAACUAUACGAAAAAUACUAUAAAUUACAAAUUUUUGCAUAUCAAUAUGAUGAAAAAAUAUAUCAUAAAAUGUUAGUCAAAGUACUUAUCGUUGGACUUUAAAAAAGGAAACCAUGACAAUUAAAGUGGACGGAAAUAGUACAAUUGAUACAUUUUAAAACCUUUUGGGAAUCAUAAUAUAACAAAUAUAAUAAAAUUAAAUACAAGAAUUAAUUGAAAUGUAAUAAAAUAAAUACAAAAUUAAAGACGUUCAAGAGGGAGGCUAAUAAAACCUUUUUUUUUCUUUAGGCUCUCAAAGUUUUGGCUUAGGCAAUAUUAAAGUUUUUCAAAAAAUAUAAAUAAAUAAAUAAAGACUACCUAACCUUUAAUAAUAAUACUAAUAUUUAAAACUUUAAAGUAAAUUAUUCAAAUUUUUGCCUUAAAAGAAAAGCUUUCCAACUCAUUUUAAAGCGUUAAAGAGAGAUUAUGACAUCCUUUUCUAAAAAUAGUUGUUGAAGAAGCAAUUUCUAAUUUUUGUUAGCACUAGAUACAACGGAUGACUAAUAUCUUGUCAAAAUAAAUAAUAAUAUCAUCAUAUGAAAUUAAAUGUUUUUUUGCAUGGUAAGAAAAAGAUAGGCGACACUAACAUUUUAAAAAUAGUUGAAUCUUUUAUCAAAAAUUUGCUUUUAGGUGACUAAUUUUAUUAUUACAUGCCUACAAUCAUAUGAAAGAUAUUUAUGAUUGAAGACAAGCUCUAAAGAAGUUUCAAUAUAAAAAAGAUAUCAUUCUUACUGGUACAAAAAAUGAGCAUUUUUAUUAAUAACAAUUAAUCCAAUAGUACAUUACAAUAAAGUUUUAAAGGAAAAAUGACAAAUAUACUCUCGUACUAUCAUAAAUGAUAUCCAGAUACCCUCCGUCAUACUUUUGGACAUUUGAUGUUCCUGUCGUCCAAAAACUAAAACAUAUAUACUCUUUAUACUAACAAACAUACACGUGUCAUAAUCUUAUUCACCGAUCCAAUAUUUAUUAAAUAUCAGAUCGACGGAUAAGAUUGCGCCAGGUGUCCCUAUUUGAUCUUCUGUUAGAGUGAAAGAUAUAUAUGCUCUAAUUUUUGGACGGCAGGGGCAGGGGCACAUAGGUAUAUUUGUCCUUUUUCCCAAUUUUUAAAACUGAGAAUCAAAACAAAUAUCCUAAAAUUUUGUCAACUGAAGUAGCAGAAAGAAACAACUAUUGCUAUGCAUUGUAUGGAUAUUCUUUGAGAGACUUGAGCACUUUUUUGCUAGCCACCUUCUUGGCCAUUUUUUCGUUUCGUCCCGAGUGUGUGUCCUUGUGAAUAGCACCAUUUGCUUCAACCUCUACUGUAAUAUAUACUAUACCAUUCUCACGAAAGUCGACAUUCUUCUUCUUUAUAUAACCUUUCUGGGCACAUAGUUCAUUUAACUCUCUUGCUGGAUGGAGUUUCAGUGUUUGAGGUGUAAUCAACGGUUCCAAAAGAGGGCUUAUGCUCUGAAAUGCAGUGUCUUUGUUGAAACCAGAAUCAACAAAGAUCGCACCAGCAAGGGACUCAAUAACAUCUGCAAGCACCUAUAGAGAACCACAAAGGAAAACAAGUUGAAACUCGUAACAAAUUGGCUUAAGAUAAAGACCUUUCAGUAACUUUUUCUUCUAUAUCAUAACUUUUGAGGUAAGUAUACAAUACCUUUGGGAAAGCAGCUUCAACCUCCCAUCCGAAUGUGGACACAAGGUCCAAUUUCUCGAAAUCCUCAACAGUACUAAAUAUAUGCCUUAGCAGAUCUUGCGAGUCAUGAAGAAUGUGCUUGUGCAGGCAAGCCUUAACUGCAGAUAGAGCAUAACAUUCAUUGUUUACGGAGGCAGACCUCAAAUCAGUAAUUAGUCCUGGAGUCAGUCCCUGAUAUUUGAAAUAGAGAUGUGUUGUAACAACAUAAUCUAGCACUGCAUCUCCAAGAAAUUCCAAGCGCUGCAAAGCCAGGUGAUCAUAUAUAUCAGCAUUUGAAUCAACGCGAGUCUUGCUGCUCUAGCAUUCAAUUUCUACUUGGGAACUCAUAAUUACUUAGGAAAGGCCGAACUUGACAUUCUUAAUCUAAACAUUGUAUCAUUUCUUCCUCAGCUGUUCUAAGAGACACAAAGUGGCUCUUGUUUUUAUGAUACUACUUAUCUUGAGAGCUCAUACAAUAGAUUGAUCCAAAUGUGAGUAUACACAUCUUGAAUUAAGAAUAAGAUGCAAAGAGAGCGAGACAGGAUUCAUAUUAUCACCUAUAAAAAGCCAUGAAACUUCCUUGAAUGAAUAAAAGAAAACAUUUUUUUCCUUGACACUAGCAGCAGUAAGAAGAACCAUCAAAUGCUAGGUAUGCAGCCUUAGGUUAAUGAAAUGUUCAGGUUCACAACUUCCCAAUCUAGAUUCUAGGCAACAUUAUAUUUUAGUAAUCAUACUGCAAAAUAUAGAUCCAAGUAUUUGACAUCUGUUGUAUUCAAAAUAGUGAACCAGAAAUAUAUUAUUAAGAUGAGUAAUUUAAUCUCCUCAUUGUACCCAAAGUUGUAGAUUAUUUCUUCCCAGGAUGAAACAGAUAUAACUAUUAAAGAAGUAGCGGUGUCUCACACUUCAAUAACUUCAGCAAACUUAAAAGUCAACAACAAAAUCACACAGACUUGUAUUUUGUUUGUAAAAAAAUGUAUGUAGAAACAGGAGAAAAUUCGAUACAGAAAACUGAGAGGAAACCUCUCUAUUUAUAGCUAACGAUAGGUGCGAACUCACCUGUUCAGAACAGGCAUGGUGUCUUUUGGGAAAGGAAAUGUCUCUUUGGAAGAAACAUGUUCCUAUUUAUUUACGAGAAUAAGUUGAUAGCAUUGUGGAAAACCCAACAGUAUUUAACAACAUUAAGAUGGAUGAUAUUUAUUUACGGGAAUAACCUGAUAGCUUCGUGGAAUCUCAGGUAGCAUGUAAGAUCCAUGAGUUAGUGCUUCAACAAGCAGAGAAGGAUCAUUGAACUUGUAAUGCAGCAGGGAUUCCAAGUAUCUGACAUUAACUAGCUUCUCAGCAUUCAUGGGAAAGUGCCUUGACAUAGGUGCAUCAACAAAAUUGAUGUCCACCCCAAGCCAUUUCAUAAAUGAUAAAGCGGCUACUUCCCCACCCGAGCUGAGGUAGGCACCUAUUAGUGCCUCGACCACAUCAGCCACUCUCUUACUUUUAAUCUUCUGUUUUACCCUACUAUACAUUUUAUCUGAGGACGUUAGGAACUCUUCGUCGAAGCUGUGAACUUGAGAAUUAUUACCAGGAAUGAUCCAUGCCUUAAGAUUGAAUGGUUCAUUACGGAUAAAUCCC
rnacentral:lncRNA from 1 species